AGCGGCGGCGAUAGCACUUUGAACGCUCCAGUUCCCUUUGGACCACUGAAGUUAAGCAACGCUGCGCGUGGUUAGUAUCCGGAUUGGUGACCGUCUGGGCAAUCGCGUGCUGGCUACUC
rnacentral:rRNA from 1 species